UGUGGGAGCUGGCUUGCCAGCGAUGGCGCAGUGUCAGUCAACAGAGUUGUUUACCGGUUGACCGCUAUCGCUGGCAAGCCAGCUCCCACA
rnacentral:antisense_RNA from 1 species